rnacentral:rRNA from 1 species
GACAGAGGGUGCAAACGUUGUUCGGAUUUACUGGGCGUAAAGCGCGUGUAGGCGGCUUUGCAAGUCGGAUGUGAAAGCCCACGGCUCAACCGUGGAAGUGCAUCCGAAACUGCAUGGCUCGAGUCUCGGAGAGGAAGGUGGAAUGCUUGGUGUAGAGGUGAAAUUCGUAGAUAUCAAGCAGACACCUGCGGCGAAGGCGGCCUUCUGGACGAUGACUGACGCUGAGACGCGAAAGCGUGGGGAGCAAACAGG